rnacentral:rRNA from 1 species
UACGUAGGGUGCAAGCGUUGUCCGGAAUUAUUGGGCGUAAAGAGCUCGUAGGCGGUUUGUCGCGUCUGUUGUGAAAGCCCCGGGCUCAACCUGGGAAUGGCAAUGGAUACUGGCAAGCUAGAGUGCGGUAGAGGGUAGUGGAAUUCCCGGUGUAGCGGUGAAAUGCGUAGAGAUCGGGAGGAACACCAGUGGCGAAGGCGGCUACCUGGACCAGCACUGACACUGAGGCACGAAAGCGUGGGGAGCAAACAGGG